GGUUAAGCGACUAAGCGUACACGGUGGAUGCCCUGGCAGUCAGAGGCGAUGAAGGACGUGCUAAUCUGCGAUAAGCGUCGGUAAGGUGAUAUGAACCGUUAUAACCGGCGAUUUCCGAAUGGGGAAACCCAGUGUGAUUCGUCACACUAUCAUUAACUGAAUCCAUAGGUUAAUGAGGCGAACCGGGGGAACUGAAACAUCUAAGUACCCCGAGGAAAAGAAAUCAACCGAGAUUCCCCCAGUAGCGGCGAGCGAACGGGGAGCAGCCCAGAGCCUGAAUCAGUGUGUGUGUUAGUGGAAGCGUCUGGAAAGGCGCGCGAUACAGGGUGACAGCCCCGUACACAAAAAUGCACAUGCUGUGAGCUCGAUGAGUAGGGCGGGACACGUGGUAUCCUGUCUGAAUAUGGGGGGACCAUCCUCCAAGGCUAAAUACUCCUGACUGACCGAUAGUGAACCAGUACCGUGAGGGAAAGGCGAAAA
rnacentral:rRNA from 1 species